CCUACGGGAGGCAGCAGUGAGGAAUAUUGGUCAAUGGGCGCGAGCCUGAACCCGCCAAGUCGCGUGAGGGAAGACGGUCCUAUGGAUUGUAAACCUCUUUUGUCGGGGAGCAAAAGACGCCACGCGUGGCGUUCCGAGAGUACCCGAAGAAAAAGCAUCGGCUAACUCCGUGCCAGCAGCCGCGGUAAUACGGAGGAUGCGAGCGUUAUCAGGAUUUAUUGGGUUUAAAGGGUGCGCAGGCGGAAGAUCAAGUCGGCGGUAAAAUUGAGAGGCUCAACCUCUUCGAGCCGUUGAAACUGGUUGUCUUGAGUGAGCGAGAAGUAUGCGGAAUGCGUGGUGUAGCGGUGAAAUGCAUAGAUAUCACGCAGAACUCCGAUUGCGAAGGCAGCAUACCGGCGCUCAACUGACGCUCAUGCACGAAAGUGUGGGUAUCGAACAGGAUUAGAUACCCUUGUAGUC
rnacentral:rRNA from 1 species